GUCUAUGGCCAUACCACCCUGAACACGCCCGGUCUCAUCUGAUCUCAGAAGCUACACAGGGUCGGGCCUGUUUAGUACUUGGAUGGGAGACUGCCUGAGAAUACCAGGUACUAUAGGCU
ensembl:rRNA 5S_rRNA 5S ribosomal RNA